GUCUAUGGCCAUACCACCCUAAACCUGCCUGAUCUCAUCUGAUCUUGGAAAUUAAGCAGGUUUGGCCCUGGUUAGUACUUGGUUGGGAGAAAUUAAAUAUAAGUUAGUGAGGGAAAGCAGGAGGGGGAGUAA
rnacentral:rRNA from 1 species